rnacentral:rRNA from 1 species
CCUACGGGAGGCAGCAGUGGGGAAUAUUGGGCAAUGGAGGCAACUCUGACCCAGCAACGCCGCGUGAAUGAUGAAGGUCUUCGGAUUGUAAAGUUCUGUGAUGGGGGAUGAACACAAUGACGGUACCCCACUAGCAAGCCACGGCUAACUACGUGCCAGCAGCCGCGGUAAUGCGUAGGUGGCAAGCGUUAUCCGGAAUGACUGGGCGUAAAGGGUGCGUAGGUGGUUUAGUAAGUUGGCGGGGUAAUUCCGGGGCGCAACCUCGGCGCUACCGCCAAAACUAGUAGACUAGAGUGCAGGAGGGGUAAGUGGAAUGCCGAGUGUAGCGGUGGAAUGCGUAGAUAUUAGGAGGAACAUCAGGGGCGAAGGCGACUUACUGGACUGUAACUGACACUGAGGCACGAAAGCGUGGGGAGCAAACAGGAUUAGAUACCCGGGUAGUC